CCCACCUCCCAGCCUUAAACUCUAUGACUAUGAUCACUGGAGUCCCAAGAAGUCCUAGCAUUAGGACUAGGGCUGUCCAGGUUCAGCUAAAGUCUGCAAGGUUAGAUGCUUUCAUUAAGGUAGGUUUUCUAAAAUUUGGAUGGAAUCCUACACAAAAGGGUUAUAAGUGGCUGCAGGAGCUGAAGUCCAGCUGAAAGGCAUAAAAAGAAAACAACGAAAGGCUGGACUAAGACAAAUUCCAAGUCAAAGACAAACAAUUCCUUCUGCUUGAACAUCGAACACUCCUUUAAAGGGCAAUCAAAUGAAUCCCUGGAUCUAGAUAUCUCUUCAUCUCUCCUGGGAUGGUGUGCUGCAUUACGCAGCUCAACGUUAUCAGUGGUUAAGUGACAUCUCUUCCCGCAGUCCUGCAGGUCUAAAUGGGCAGUGGAGGUAGGUAGCCCUAGUGGACAGUUUCCUACUGCCAAGGAGGACUCCCCUGACUGGACCCAAGCAAGCCAGCUCCACUGGGUUUAGCCAUGGAACUUCCACGCCAUGAGGUGAAGAGAUUAGACAUUUGGGUGCUGCAGGCGGCCGUGAUCCUGAGUUAUCAAGUCUGGGAGAAGCGGUAAGGUGAUUGGGUUUUCCAUGGACAUUUCCUGGAGUGAUGUGUACCAGUGCUGACGGGACCAGACUGGAGCUAUCAAUAUCACUGAGGCUUCGUCCCUUUGAACCUUGAGCAGUACUUUGUGAACUAGAGUACAGGAGAUGUCCCCUCGAGGGAAGGAGGAACAUGUCCGUGAUGGAGCCCAGGUUGUGAUUCAGGAAGGAGCAGAACUGUAGGCACAUCCUGUCGUGUCGCAUAGCGAACAAGUCUAUCUGGGGAAAUCCCCACCAUUGGAAGAUGGUAUUCGCGACAUACGGGUGGAUGGACCAUUUGUGGCAGUGAAAGGACCUGCUGAGAUAGUCUGCCAACUUGUUCUGAACUCUGGGGAGAUAAGACGCUUCCAGGUGUAUUGAGUGAGCUAUGCUAAAGUUCCACAGUUUGAGGGCUUGCUGGCACAAGGGAGAAGAGCAUGCUCCCCCUCGUCUGUUUAUAUAAAACACCGCUGUUGUACUAUCUGUAUGACAGAUACAUAUCUCCCCUCCAAGUGAACUUGGAACAUCUGGCAUGCCAAAUGGACUGCCUUCAGCUCUCUGACGCGGAUAUGAAGUAAGAGAUCCAACUGGGACUAGAGGGCCUGAGGUCCUUCAGGUGCGCUCCCCAACCCCUCGCUGACACAUCCAUCACCAGCAAAAGGGAUGGCUGGGGCCUGGAGAAGGGAACACCAACACACAUCACUUGUGGAUGGAGCCACCAUAGGAGAGACUCGAGAACCAGCCAGGGGAGAAUGACAAUCUUGUCUAGACCGUCCCAAAUUGGUUGGUACACCGAAGCUAGCCAUGCCUGAAGAGGCCGAAGUCUCAGUAUGG